CCUCCUCCUCCUCCCCUGGCUGGGCUGCAUGGAGCCGCACUUCACGGAAAACGAGGGAAUGAGGAAGAGACAGAUAAAGCAGCCACGCUGCUCCAGGAUUCUCUCAUUCUGCUGCGCUCAGCUGGGCUCAGUCUAUUCUUUUCCCUCCCUCUCUCCCUCUCUCAUCGAUUCUCUCCGUCCGAGCGACCGUCCGUCCGCCCGUCCGAGCACAACUACACUCGAUCUCUCCCGGCCGUCGUUCUCUUGUCCUCGCUCUCCUGUAGACAAACGCACACUCACAGACCGACAAGACUUCUCGUUCCUCUUCCUCCUUUCACAUCCCAGGCGAAGGCUGGGCUGUAUGCGGCGAGCAGGAGACACAGACGAAGCGGCAAGAAAUGAAAGCACAAAGCAGCAAAACGCAUCAGCAUGAAUAUUAGAGAUGUCGUUAAAAUCCGGACUCGUUUUUCUCUCUCUCUCUCCCUUGCUCACUCACUCUCUCUCACUCUCUCUCUCUCUUUAGCUCAUUGUGAAACAGGAGGUCCAGCAGAGGGUGCUAGUUGUUAUUACAUUAACUUUCAGAACUUAACCCCAAAAAUACUGAAUUUCAAUACUUGCUGAGCACGAAAUGAACAGCAGCAAGUGUUCGAAGGAAUGAGUACACCUGGAGAUGUUUUCAGCAGCUAAUCUGUGUCAAAACAGAUCAGUCAAGUACAAUAAAUCACAAUUACAAACACAUGCACACACACGCGUGAGAGCAGGUGGCAUAAGUUCAUGUGCUGCUAGAUCGAUUCACAGGAAGUGAAAAUAGAGACUCAAAGGGAAAUGAGGUCAUGCCCUCUCUUUCCCAAAGCGUGACACUGGUCGUGUGCAACUGUGCUCGUGCGUUGCAAAAAACUUGUGACCACAGAUACAUACAAAACACAAAUGAAAGCAAGAGUAGAGCUGUAACAUAAAAAAUAACUGACUUGAAAUGAGGAACAUUCAAUAUGAAAAGAAAUAUAGCAGGUAUGGAACCACCAGGACUGUAUCAGCGGUCUGAAAUCACUCAGAAAAGUGGGUCAGCUUUGGGUAAGAAUCUUACAGAGCAGCACACAGAUUAGCUGUGGCUAUAGACCGAGCCUUGAGACUGAAGUAAGCUCAACUUCUACAAGGUCAAAUGAAUGCAAGGUUGAACAAGAGUCCUGAAAGUCGUCUAAAAUCUAUCAUUUUCACUAGGUGGCACAUAGUGUGCAAGUGCUUUUCAAUUCUGUCAGUAUACUAGGCACAAUAAAACGUUUUGCACUUUAGAAAACAGGCUUUGUGUGACAUAGUGAGAUAACAAAACUCUCUCGAGAGAGCGAGAGAGAUAACAAGGCCUUGAAGUUUGGACUGGUGGAAAUACAAAUUAAGACCUCAAAAAACAACUAUUAUGAUUAUUUAAAAGCAGCUAAAUAAAAAGAAGAACCAAACAACUAAAUAAACAAUAGGGCUAUGAAAAUGUAGGAGUAAAUUGUUUAAAAAUGUUAAGUUAAACUAGUGCCAUUUCAAAGCUUCAGUCUAUUAAAAAUAAAAUUAGUGUACGUUGGUCAAUUUUUCUGAGCAAUUUGUACUUACUAAUAUUCAUUCAAAAGAGUAGAUGAGGACCAUAUAAAUAUGAGAAAGUGAAUAAAAUAGAGUCUUUUUACGUACUGUAUGGAGGAAGAAAAGAAAUAUGCAUGUGCUCUAGACUAGAUGUAUAGCACAAACCCCCACCACAUCAUGGAAAACAAACAGUUAAUAUGUAAAUAAGAUGAAAUAGCAGCACCAAGAUAUUGGGAGGAGCUCAGUUACAGAGAGAGAGAGAGAGAGAGAGAGAGAGAGAGAGAGAGAGAGAGAGAGAGAGAGAGAGAGAGAGAGAGAGAGAGAGAGAGAGAGCUCCUUCACUUCUCCAUCUACGCAAUGUAUUUACAAACCCGCCCACUUUCAGACCUCCUACAUUAGGUGGAUAUUUUCAAGGAUAAAAGUAUGGAGAACGUUUAAGCCAACAUGGAAGAAAAAUCUAUAACAUUCAUGCAAAAUGAUUGAUUUUAACAGUGUCAUCUUGACAAAUAUUAACACAUUUUGCUCUUUGCAACAAGGUAGGAGCUCUAGCAUCACUGAAAUUGCUCAAUCCCUUUGUCUUAGUGCCUGCAACCAUUCCAGAUAUCCAAGCAGUCACGUAAAGACUAAAUUGUCACCAUCUUAUGAAGUGGCACAUAUGGAAUCAAUGCAUGCAAAAAGCUGCAAUCAGCUCACCAUAUGUCUGUGCCUUUCAUGUGUGAUUACUAAACAUUUGUAUAGUUAAGCUGCAUCUCAAAUGCAAAUAAUAAUAAAAAUAAAUAAAUAAAUAAUAGUAGUAGUAGUAAUGAUAAUAUAAAUAAUGAUAUAUAAUUCUUAAUAUCAACAUUGAAAAUUGAAUAAUUUUCUGUUACCACAAAAUUAUUAAGCAGCAUAUAUUUACAUUUUCCCUUUAACUAGAAAGCUCAAUGUAACAGCAUUCAUUUGAAACGUAAAUAUUGUUGUAGCCUUAAAUAUUGUUUGAAAGACUCCAAUUAAGAACUUUGCAUCUCCAGACAAUGUCGGUGAAGUUUCAGGUCAAAAUACCCAUUAGAUGAUUUAUUACACCCUGUUGAAAAUGUCAAUUUUGGGGUCAGGGGGAAUUGUAUCUGUUUUGGCACCUGUGCCUUUAAAUAAAAAUGAGCUGGUUCCCCUUGCCCAUUCA
ensembl:antisense